UACGGGUGGUGCAAGCGUUGUUCGGAAUUACUGGGCGUAAAGGGCUCGUAGGCGGCCAACUAAGUCAGACGUGAAAUCCCUCGGCUUAACCGGGGAACUGCAUCUGAUACUGGAUGGCUUGAGUUCGGGAGAGGGAUGCGGAAUUCCAGGUGUAGCGGUGAAAUGCGUAGAUAUCUGGAGGAACACCGGUGGCGAAGGCGGCAUCCUGGACCGGCACUGACGCUGAGGAGCGAAAGCCAGGGGAGCAAACGGG
rnacentral:rRNA from 1 species